GAAAUUAUCAGUUCCAUUGGUAAGUGGUCGCAUGGGAGAAGCUGAAUUCUCUCUUCUAACUUGGGAGUUUCUGAUAUUCUUGUUUGGUUAUAUAGGAUAGGCCGCGUCUUUGGAGGUAGAUAAAUGAGGUAAUAGAAGUCAGACUUCUCUGCAGGCCUCAUACUCUCUUAGAAGUCUGCAUGUAUGGAGUUCUGUAGCUGAGAAUGGAUCGUACUCUACAAAUAGGUUUCUCGUCAAGUUUUUUUCUCUUUCUUUUCCUUUUAUCUUUAAUUGCUUAGCUACUUAGCAGCUACAUGUACUUAGUCUCUUUUGGAUUUUUGGUUGGAUGUAAUGGUAUGGA
rnacentral:misc_RNA from 1 species